UACAGAGGGCCCAAGCGUUGUUCGGAUUCAUUGGGCGUAAAGGGUGCGUAGGCGGCGGGGUAAGUCAGGUGUGAAAUCCCGGAGCUCAACUCCGGAACUGCACUUGAUACUGCCUUGCUCGAGUACUGGAGAGGAGACUGGAAUUUACGGUGUAGCAGUGAAAUGCGUAGAUAUCGUAAGGAAGACCAGUGGCGAAGGCGAGUCUCUGGACAGUUACUGACGCUGAGGCACGAAGGCCAGGGGAGCAAACGGG
rnacentral:rRNA from 1 species